GGUGAGGGGGGCGGGAUGGGGACGCCGGUGGGGGGUCCGCCUUGUGAAGUCUGUAGCUCUGGGUGUGCCAUCGACUGAGGCCGCAGCGAGUCGUGACAGCUAGCAAGCGUAGAGCAGCGAGGCCGGGCAUAGAGGAGUCGAGAAUCGGCCUGUUGGAGACAGCUAGGAGGGAGAGAAGUUUUCAGUGACCCACCGGAAGGAAGGAGGCAGACGAGAGUUAAGGCCCCCCGACUUAGCACUAGCAGGGUGCCAGAACGAGAGAGGUUUAAGUUCUGUGCUGCUAGGUAAGAACAGAUUUUACUUCAAUCUGUUGAGUUUGCUACCUGAAAUGCCAGUCCCCCCCGCCUUUCCCCUCAAUUUCACUUGAAUCUUGUUGGGAUCCACCAGCUAGCCCCCUCCAGUGGCCUGGCCAACUAUAAGAGCUCCUAAGAGCUGCCCGGGCGGGUGGUCUUCCUGGGCUUGUGGCCAUCGGGUUCUCCCACGGGGUGGGUCUCCCUAUUGGACAGUUGGCACUGGAAUCCAAGCCCCAUCCCCGAGCAACUGGCAUUUAUUUUAUCCCCGCCGUUCACACUGGCCCCCUCUGGGUUGUGGGACCCCGGGAGGGGAGAAGGAGGGGGGUCUUUGCCGGGGGAGGCGGAGGCGGGCCUGCUGACGCUUUGUCUCUGCUUCUCUAGGAGAGGAGAAUCCUGAGUUCGGCUCACCCCGGCGCGAGAGGUUUUCGCCUGACCCCCCCUGAGGGCUUCUCCCGACGCUCGCCUCCGCUGGGGUCCUGCGUCGAAGCUACUCGGACAGCUGAGUGUGGCUGCUGUGCAGCCUGGUUUUCAUUCGUUCCCAUGCGAAUGUGUUUUUUGUAAUAAAAUGCUCGUGCAAAUGA